AUGAGUCCAGCUGAGACUCUGGAGAUGGAGAUGAUGGGUCAGGAGAAUCCACCGACAAACAACUGGGGACCAACAGAGUACGGGCAGUUCCAGGAUCAAGAAGUCGAGGGGAUGGAAGGUGGAACGACGGAUGUCGAUUACUCUGAUAUUAAAUUCUUUGCGUUUGAGAAUAAACAAUCUGCAGGCAAAAACGGAAAGAAAAAAGAGAAUUCAGACACAGAUUAUGCUAAAAUAAAACCAAAAGAAACACGGCUGAAGGUGGAUGAAGGAGACAAAGUGGAGGAGGAGAAGGAGCUAAACCUCUGUGCUGAAGAAGUGAAGGGAGAAGAUUUAGCUGUUUACUCAAACGUGUCAGAACUGAUGGACCAAAUCUGAAGAUGGCAGCUACAAGGUGUGUUUGUGCCUGCAAUCAGUUCACCAGGGGAGAAUAUUAUCAAAAAGAAGAGAAAAUGGAUUCCCUCACCUCAGAAUAAUGUUCUGGAGCGUUAAAGUAAUAAAAAAAUACUAAACUGUUGAUUUAUUUAAGCAUAAUUGAUUAUUUUUAGUUGUUUUACUGAAGGAACAAACGUCUUCUGUAUGUGAGCCAGAUUUAAUGUUUUUAAUGUAAACCAACAAAGCCACACACAGAUCAGACAUUUCCUGAUAAAAAGACAAGAAUCAGAAAAGAAGGGAACGAAAAGUAGAAUCCGAUGCAGCAGCAGGUGUCGCCGGGUGUUUUGCAUCUUUGGUUCUUCUGGAUGAAUUAAAGUGAAACUCUGUUGUGCAAAUUAAAGGAGGCUUGAACAGCGGUGCAUACCUCCAUAACACUGUUCCUCUUUAUCUCUAAACAAAUGCAUGCAAUUUACAGUUGAAGGAGAAUAGCUCUGGGUGUUCGCAGAUACAUGAAAACGGGUGGCUGAGAAACAGAUCAUCAAGGCUUUGUUUUUAUUUUAUCUCCAGAAAUGUUUACAGCUAAAAUAAUUCUAUUGUAUUUAUUUCUGUCUGUGGAAAACACAAUUAUACACUGAUAUGCUGUCAAUGUGUUCCACAACCUUAGUUAAAAUGGAGCUUUUUCCAUAUUAUAUUGUAUGUUAUGAUUAUAAUUCAUAUUUUCUUGCUCUUUAGAGGGAAUUUGGAAUGUAACGCUGCGCGUAAAUGCAAAAAAGGUUAAGAUGUAAAAGGAAUUGCACAUUUUCACAAUAAAAAAAAGUUGUUCAUGAGUGUUUAUAUCUGUGUAAACAAACAUGUGUCAGCAGUUUUGCGCACACACACACACACACACACACACACACACACACACACACACACACACACACACACACACACAGUGUUCAUGGUGGAUUAAGGUUGAGCCAAGAGGAUUAGAAAGUUCCACUAGAUGGACGGAUGCUUUAAAUAGAGCUCGACUCAGGGCUUCAACAUCAGAAGAACCAGAACCAGAGGACUCUCAGCUAUACACACACAGGUGAGUGUGUUUAACUGAUAUAAUUGCUCUGCAGCUCAUUCAAUUUUAGAGAUUUAGUUAAAAGCUGAAUAUUUAUAAGAAUUGGUCUUUAGCUACCCUUUAGUAAUCAGGUGUCCUCCUGAAGGAAAAAGGCAGAAUGUUUUUGAACAUUUUAGUGAAACGUUUCAAUUGGAGAGAUAGAAAAUCAAGCUUGAAAUCAAGUGAAAGUACAAAACCUACAUCCGUCCGUCUGUUUUUAUUUAUUUGUUUAUUUAUUUUUACCUGUUCGGGUGUGGGCUGUAAGGGUAGCAGCCCCAAUAGAGGCCCAAACCACCUUUUCCUCAGUAAUCUUCACUAGCUCCACCAGUGGGAUCCUGAUGCAUUCCCUGGUCAAUAUGAUCCUUCCAAUGAAGCUGUAGUGUAAAAAAAAUACACAUUUAACUAUUACGAGCCCAGCAUGUGUCAUAUUGUGGACAUUAAUUAAAGGUAUAAUAAUGUCUCAUUGGAGGGAAGGUUACAUUGAAACAGAUUUACUUACAGCUGACUGGGAGGUUGUUAGUUUAUAUCUUUUCAACUUAGCCAAAAAAGAGGGACACAGUCUUUGAUUACAAUCUGUGAGCCUGCGAGGUUACCAAAUCUGCACCAGCUAACACAGCAGCGUUUUGGAAAGAGCUGAAGCCAGUAAACAGGAGCAACUCAGAAGUUAUUUCUUGUACCCCUAAGAAGCCACGGCAUCGUUUUGGUUUGCUCUAAUAUCGAGUAAAGAAGGCUAGA
rnacentral:lncRNA from 1 species